GAUAACUACUUCUGGUUAGGCCGGGGAAAUAAAAAGGGUAACCAUAGAUAUAUGGUCUAGCAUCACGAGGUUCAGGUUCCUGCUGUUGAUCAACCGUUGCUUCGGUCGAGGUGGGUUAUGCUUGAUUAUGUUCUUCUUUGUAUUUUUGUUCAUGGCCUACACUGGUGUUAUCAUCUAUUCUGUUUCAAAAAUUUCAAUGGCUUAGUUUCAUGUCCCAGUACCACUUGAAGUACAAAACUAAGUACCUUCUGAUAGGAGGAUAAUGUACGUACUUACCUACCUAUGGCUAUUGUUUCCUAUAAGAAACAUUAUUAUCUCACCUUGGUUUCCCCUGUAUGUAUCUGACUUGGGAUAGUUUUAUGUGAGAUUUGUUUUGCAUUUUCUAUGUGUGUGGAUGCUUAAGCUUAAGCUUUUAUUAUUUGGUUCAGUAAGAGAUUAAAGAAGACUGAAAUUGAGUCGAUGAUGUAUAUACUUGAUAUAUAUAUAAAUGGCCAAAAUAAGGAAGUGCUUUUAUGAAAGUCAAAUAUGCAGUUGUCUUCCUGUUUGAAUCUUCAUUGGCGAUUCCAAGUUUGCUGCUUCCCAAAAAGUGGAGAUUUGUAGUACGGACAUAACUUCAACCUAUUCAGUAUAGAUCUUAAAUUGACCAGACAAUAGUAUACUAUUUUUUAUUUACGGCCUUAGAAUUGUAUUGCCACAAAAAAAACAGAUUUGAAAUCGCAAAGAAAGCAGGUUCUUAUGCUCAUAACAAUCCAGGAGACGAUUCUGUAGCUUAAUGUCUGCUUAGUCUUUUCCAUCCUUAGCUAACGGUAUUGAUUUGGUGAUAAUUUAAGAUUUUGGGUAGUAGAGAGAUCAUGUAGGCCAUUUAGUCUUGGCUAUCAACUAAAAUGUCAAUUGGUACUCGAUAGACUUAUAGUUAACCUCUCUCUUUUGUUGUCUCUAACAGCCAAGAUGAGUGCUCUACACUUACGUCUCAUGCUAACUGAAUUGGUGAUGUUUAUUUCUUCACCUCGAUUGAUGCCGCAUGUUCCCGCUGGUUAGUCUUGAGUCUUGACACCGUGUUUAUGCAAUUAAAAUUGCCCUAGCUCUGGUUGGUUGACCACAUUUGAUUUAUUGCAAAUUUUGGUACACUAUUUUGUUAAGAGCGUUCUUUGUUUACUUAUGGCUCUAGCAACUGUGAUCAUUUUUCUUGGUACGAGUUUGCAGCUUCUCGGCGGGCACAUUUGAAUCGUGGAGCGUGAACUGGUCAUAGGGAACUGGCCUGUUUGGCAGAAAAGACAAUUUUUUUGUGGCUACCAGUUACAGGUUUUAUAUACUCUUGCAGUCUUCGAAGUUGUUUUCAGCUCAUGUACACAUCUAUUGCUGAUAAAAUGUACUAAUCAUAUGUAUACUAUGUAUCAGGUGCACACAAGAUGCUUACAAUUGAGCGGUCUACACUACACAAACCAUCAUUUUGGUCCUUUAUACAUACAAGAGGCGAGCGAGGACACAUACAUACAUUUGACCGCCAAUAAUUCAACUGUCGGUUAUCAAUCGGCUGUGUGUAUCUUGUUUCAAUCGGCAAUGGUGCAUAUACAUUUCAGUGAGCACACAUAUAUGCUUGAUUUUACUUCAGUUAAUAGAGGGCAUUCUAUAAUUACUAAGAACUGUUUUGUGAAGGUGUGCCUCCGUAUUUUGUCACUUCUGUCUACAUAUUGUGACCAGAUUGUGAUGCAUGGUCUCUUUCCAGCUAUGGAAAAUGGUGUACUGCAUACUGCAUACACUGAUGAUAGGAUAGAUGGUUUGUGACGUACAACCUCUGUACCAAAAUGUAGGAUCUUUGGACAGGCACUUUGUGGUAGAAUGUGUCGAACAUAGGUCUGUUUGCUAGAAUAUGUGUUGUGUCGAUGUUGCAACCAGCAUACACAAAAAUGACUUUGCUAUAUAUUUUCAUAAUGCUAUGUUCUGCCAGUUAAACGACUUCUUAUUGUUUUGAAUCUACUACAAAAGUGUUUAAAGAUUUACUUUGUCCCAGCGCCUACUUUGGAUCAAAAGAAAGUAAAAAAGCUAGAAGAUACUCCCAUGGAACAAUUUAUCCUAUAUCGAGUGGUAAUUGUGUUAUGUAUCAGAUAACUUCUCAUAUUAGUAGUUCCCACUAAGAAUUCUUAGUUUUCAUUCUUUUCUUUUAAGAAAAAAAAAUCUGAGUAUUGGUGUAUCCAGAAAGGAUCUGGAGGUCAGCUUGUUAGUAAUCCCAAUAUGUGUGUCAAAUUAUGUUGCUGUGGAUCUCAAGGAAUGAAUGACAGCAAGCUGAUGGUUCUGCUCGAUGGAUCUGUGUACAUUCCGAUAUAUGAGAACAAGGGCAGCAAUAGGUUGCUCAUCAGCAACAUCCUGUGAAACUGACUGCUGCAUGCUAACUAUCCAUAUGCAUAAUCCUAUAUUUGUGUAGAUAGUUCCUAUCACCUGAAGUAUCAAAAUCUUGUUAAGCGUUGGCCUGAUGUUUUAUAUAUUUUCAGCACCAAGGGCGAUGUAGAAAUGCAAGAACAGAAGCUUUGCGAGGUAAUUCAGUCAGCUAGCAUGUAUGUCUUCUGCUAUAGCGAGAUCAUUUAAUUUAUUUAGAAAAUAGAACAUGAAGUGUGAUUACAAGAAUCUACUACUGUUAGCAUGAACAGGCUUUGUAAUGUACCUACUGAACAAUAGCAUAAUUGAAUCCUUCCUAAGCAGCGACCGUCAAUCGAGACUUCACAUGCCUGGUUUUACUUUACGAAGAGUAGUAUGUCGUGCUCCAAUAUUCAACUGUGUUCUUGAAUUAGGAAUUAUGUUUUUUUAUAGUUAAAGUGCUUGUCUAUUGGUCUGGUGUAUAUAAGUGAAAGAAAACAAAAACAGAUGGGGGAAGGGAGCUUCUUGCUUUUCUUUUCCUUUUGUUUCUAUUUGAUAAUUACUCCCUACUCUGAUGCUUCAGUGUUUUUUUAAUCUCCCGUGUUAUAUUUUUUGGGUGCUACUUGGGCUUUCUGAGGUCCUUUUUGUUUUCAUUAAGAACAAAAUAGAGUUACUUAAUUUGAGAUUUGAAUGUUAGACACAGAGCUAUGAGUCAAUGUACUGGUUUGACAAGCUGUAUUGUCAUAUUCACCUGUGCUUUGGAAAUUAAAAAGAAUUACUUUGUUUUAUGUUUGAAUGUCAAGCAAAAAUAGAAUGGGGGAAGGGAGCUCGCAAUACAGAUUCUAAUUGUUACUUGGUGUUUUGAUCCUUGUGUCUGCUCUUGUAAUAAUCUUGUGUGGGUGCCUUCACAUGUAAUCUAUUGCCUCUCUGACAUGUUUUGCUACAAAAUUAUGUCUCGACCAUAUGUAUUUACAUUACUGCUGUCAGCUUCUGAUAUUUAAAUUAUGAUAGGACAAUGCCUCUUUAGCUGUAACUGUGAUACUCCUGAUGUGCAAGUAAACACUACUAGGAUAACUAAAAAAAAUCAUGAAAUGCGAGCAAUUCUUGAUUUAAAUAGUGUGACCUUACAUAAUAGGAGCUAAUCAUUGUGUCGUGUUCAAAAUGGGUACUAGAAAAGAUAAUUGAAUAGCAAGUCCUGUAGAGUUACCACCAUAAAGUUUAUUUCUAACUGCAUGAUCUGAACUGCACAUUCUGAAAAUAUAUUAGACUCCUGCCCUUGGGAAAUUAGACUGCCAUAGCAAUACUUCUGUAAAAAAAAUGCCGUGCUAACUUGACGGUUCAGUUUAAAGCUGUAGGCAGAGGCUUGCGGUAGGGAGGAAAUCAUUAUGCCAGUUGAAAACCAAGCCGUUUAUUUGUGGGUGUAUGAUCUGGACUGUGCUUCUCUGAAAGUAUGCUCUUGGGAGAUUUAGCUAUUGUUGUUUUGCUUGGUAAACAAAUGACAUGCUAAAAUGUUGGUUGUUAGAGCCUCCCUGUUCUUCUAAAAAAAUGUUUGGUUGUUAGUACAGAGGUGGUGACACUAUUUGGUCCUCUGGUAUUGAUUCAUGAUUUGUGCUUAAUACAUGAUGUUGGUAUCUGAUCACUUUAUUGCUCAUGCCUCACUUGAUGUUGCAUGGUGUACAGGCAAAGUGCCAAUGGAGUGGCAUAUAUCGUACUUCGCUACUACCUACAUGCGAUUCCAUUUGAUUUCACUUUGAUUUUGUUUUUCUGCUGAUCGUUUCUAGGUGGUUGUUGAUGAAUCAUGUAAGGAUGGUGCAGAACUCACAAGAGGGAAAAGACCGAACUGCGGUAACCAAAUCAAAUAGCUGAUAAGGUACAAAUUUCUGAAGAUAUAUGGUUUGCCCUAAACAAGCAUAUACAUCAUAGUACAAAGGGGAAUUACAUCUCUGUUUUAUGUUAUGUUUUCUGCUUGCUAUCUUGUUCAUGGACUCUCUGUAAGUGCGCCUUUCUAUUAGCAACCUUAGUGCCAAUGACUCAACAGUCAGCUAUCAACCAGAAUACUAGGGCAUUGAGCUUGUUUAAACUGUAGAGUACACAUGCAUAUACUGUUACUCAGACAUCAAGAAAACAUGAGAUAAACAUGUAUGACGAUCUACCAUGUUAUUACUCAGGUGUUGAUUAGGAAGUAGACAUAGGUUUAGCAGAGAAGAAGUUUCAGUGAUUUAUCAGUUCAGGCUAUGGAAGUAAACAUGAGGCAUUGAAGCUAAUUUGAAUUAGGCGUGAUGAACCAAACAUUUUUGUAAUUGCCAUUAGUGGGUCAACAGGGUAGGCAUUUUCAUGAGACAAUAUUGAUUUUAAUGACGGGUAAUAAUUACACUGUUGCCUUUGUUUCAAAAGUAAAACUUUGCUAUCUUUGACCUUGCCUCUAGGAAAAAAAAUCAGCUCAAAACUGAAAUACUCCGGAUUUACUAGAUAUCUUUUAGACGUAAUACUGUGUUGUUUGUGAAGGUUCACUUGGAAGUGGUUGAGGUAGCCUGACCUGGUGAGACCUGGUGACGCGAUGCAUACAUCGGAGGAAGUAGAUCUGUGAGUGCGGGAGUGGAUCUUGCAAUUGAAGUCGUGUCUCCGAUGCAGAGGAGCAGCGGCGAUGUGGUGGAAACUACAGGGUGAGUGAGAGAUUGGAGGAGGGGAUGGCCAUGAAGUAAGUGGAUUAACAUCGUCUGGUCAAGUAACUUGGGCCAGCCCAUUAUUGUGAAUCUGUCAUUUGUCUUCUUGUAAGCCCACAACACAGUUUAAAUAUGUAUUGGGAGUUUCAAGUUUGGGACAACUAAAUCAGAUAAAUGAACGAAAUUAUAACACUUAUAACGGUUUAUAAAAUGAAGUAACAAAGUGCAUAUCCAAGUUUAGUUUUCUUGGAAUGUGAUUGUUUGUUAUUCAUUGUUAGGCUUGGCAUUUGAAUCUUUGUUAGAUCUGAAGUGCCAUUGAUAGCAUGGAAUAUUUGUACAACGCACUGGAGGCAUGGUCUUUCUCAGGAUGACUAACAAGGAUGAUCAGCAAGUGUUUGUUUGCCAAAGUUAUGGCGGUUUGAAAAAAGUCGUUGAUGCAUUGCUGUGGAUCUCAAGAUGGCUAUGUGUUUAUAUUUUGCAUAAUCACUCUGAAGGCCAUGCUUUAUAUUUUCUCUGAAAUUUGCUCUUGAAGAAUCAUGUAUCUAUGUUAGAUCCGGUGAGAAAAGGCGGCUUCCAACCAAAGGAUGCGGGAGUGUUGG
rnacentral:lncRNA from 1 species